rnacentral:lncRNA from 1 species
GUCCCACCCACGCUCCCGGUCUACACCAGACACUGUCCCACCCACGCUCCCGGUCUACACCACUGUCCCACCCACGCUCCCGGUCUGGGUUUGAAGAUCACUAGACACUCAACAUUCGUCUGAUUCUUCUCCUUCAAGGCAUUUCUCCCAGUUCAGAGCUUAUUUAUUACUUUUGUUAUGAUUAUUUUUUGAGAGAGUCUUGCUCUGUUGCCCAGGCUGGAGAGCAGUGGUGUGGUCAUAGCUCACUGCAACCUCUUAACUCCUGGGCUCAGCCUCCCGAGCAGAAGAAUCGCUUGAACCUGGGAGUUGGAGGUUGCAGUGAGCUGAGAUCACGCCAUUGCACUCCAGCCUGAG